CCUACGGGUGGCAGCAGUGAGGAAUAUUGGUCAAUGGACGAGAGUCUGAACCAGCCAAGUAGCGUGAAGGAUGACUGCCCUCUGGGUUGUAAACUUCUUUUAUAUGGGAAUAAAAUGUUCCACGUGUGGGAUUUUGUAUGUACCAUAUGAAUAAGGAUCGGCUAACUCCGUGCCAGCAGCCGCGGUAAUACGGAGGAUCCGAGCGUUAUCCGGAUUUAUUGGGUUUAAAGGGAGCGUAGGUGGAUUGUUAAGUCAGUUGUGAAAGUUUGCGGCUCAACCGUAAAAUUGCAGUGGAAACUGGCAGUCUGGAGUACAGUAGAGGUGGGCGGAAUUCGUGGUGUAGCGGUGAAAUGCUUAGAUAUCACGAAGAACUCCGAUUGCGAAGGCAGCUCACUGGACUGCAACUGACACUGAGGCUCGAAAGUGUGGGUAUCAAACAGGAUUAGAUACCCCAGUAGUC
rnacentral:rRNA from 1 species